AUGCAAUUGAACGGUUUUAGAAAUGUUUCACUCUCCUCAUUCCACAAUCAAAAAUGGUUUCAUCACCCAUUAAUCUUCUAUAGUAGUUUCAAAUGCGAUUCCUUCUUUCUCUCUUCCUCUUCUUCACAGAUUGCAUUUGAGAAGGCGGAUCUGAAGUACGCGGUGGUUUCCGACGCAGUAAGCAGACCCUGUUAUAGAGAGGCUGGAUCCGAAGCACUGCAUUAG